rnacentral:misc_RNA from 1 species
GUGAGUCAUCGAAUCUUUGAACGCACAUUGCGCCUACCAGUAUUCUGGUAGGCAUGCCUGCCCGAGCGUCAUUUCAACCCUCAAGCCCCAGCGCUUGGUGUUAGGGCCCUAUGUAGCCACUAUAGGCCCCGAAAGACAGUGGCGGGCUCGCCGCGACCCCGAGCGUAGUAAUACUCCUCGUUCAGGGCGUCCGGCGGGUCCCAGCCGUUAAACCCCCCAAUUCUAAAGGUUGACCUCGGAUCAGGUAGGAAUACCCGCUGAACUUAAGCAUAUCAAUAAGCGGAGGA